AUCGUCCUAAGCUGGGGCUGUGGGGAGGAGGAUAGGAGGCGAGUCAGAUUUGGAGCGGACAAGGAGGAUUUAGAAAGUAGAACAAGACUGACAGAGGGAAUGGCAGUUACAGAGAGUGAAGAUGUAGCAGGACAACCUGCAGACAAAACCCUUCAGACACCGAGUUAAAGAAGGAAGGGCUUUAUUCGGCCAGGUGCUUCAGCAAGACUCACUUCUCCAACAACCAAGCUCCCCGAGUGAGCAAUUCCUAUCCCUUUUAAGGGCUCACAACUCUAAGGGGGUCCACGUGAGAGGGUUGUGAUCUAUUGAGCAAGCACGGGGCACAUGACUGGGGGCUGCAUGCACCGGUAAUUAGAUCGGAACAGAACAGGACAGGG
rnacentral:lncRNA from 10 species